CCUACGGGUGGCAGCAGUGGGGAAUAUUGCACAAUGGGGGGAACCCUGAACUAGCGAAGUCGCGUGAGUGAAGGAGUAUUUCGGUAUGUAAAGCCCUAUCAGCAGGGAAGAACAAUGACGGUACCUGACUAAGAAGCACCGGCUAAAUACGUGCCAGCAGCCGCGGUAAUACGUAGGGGGCAAGCGUUAUCCGGAUUUACUGGGUGUAAAGGGAGCGUAGGCGGCGCGGUAAGUCUGGAGUGAAAGUCCGCGGCCCAACCGCGGGAGUGCAUUGGAAACUGGUGAGCUGGAGUGCCGGAGGGGUAGGCGGAAUUCCUAGUGUAGCGGUGAAAUGCGUAGAUAUUAGGAGGAACACCAGUGGCGAAGGCGGCCUACUGGACGGUGACUGACGCUGAGGCUCGAAAGCGUGGGGAGCAAACAGGAUUAGAUACCCCUGUAGUC
rnacentral:rRNA from 1 species